rnacentral:rRNA from 1 species
UACGAAGGGGGCUAGCGUUGUUCGGAAUUACUGGGCGUAAAGCGCACGUAGGCGGACUAUUAAGUCAGGGGUGAAAUCCCGGGGCUCAACCCCGGAACUGCCUUUGAUACUGGUAGUCUCGAGUCCGGAAGAGGCGAGUGGAAUUCCGAGUGUAGAGGUGAAAUUCGUAGAUAUUCGGAGGAACACCAGUGGCGAAGGCGGCUCACUGGUCCGGUACUGACGCUGAGGUGCGAAAGCGUGGGGAGCAAACAGG